UACGGAGGGUGCAAGCGUUGCUCGGAAUUAUUGGGCGUAAAGCGUGUGUAGGCGGUUUCCUCAGUCUGGUGUGAAAUCCCGGAGCUUAACUCCGGAACUGCAUUGGAUACUGGGAGGCUAGAGGAUGGUAGAGGAUGAUGGAAUUCCUGGUGUAGGGGUGAAAUCCGUAGAUAUCAGGAGGAACAUCAGUGGCGAAGGCGGUCAUCUGGACCAUGCCUGACGCUGAGACACGAAAGCGUGGGGAGCAAACAGG
rnacentral:rRNA from 1 species